UGCAUCUGAGGCCUGCGAGGAUGAGAACCUCCGGGGGCAGGAGGUUCGACUCGAGCGAAGCGAGAGAACGUUGCGUCAGCAACGGCCCGCA
rnacentral:sRNA from 1 species